GGACGUGGUGACUGUAGAGACGUGGUGAGUGUAGGGAGGUGGUGAGUGUAGGGAGGUGGUGAGUGUAGGGACGUGGUGAGUGUAGGGAGGUGGUGAGUGUAGGGACGUGGUGAGUGUAGGGACGUUGUGAGGAAAACCUCCUGUUCCUAGUUGUGGUGAGUGUAGGGACGUGGUGAGUGUAGGUACGUGGUGAGUGUAGGGAGGUGGUGAGUGUAGGGACGUGGUAAGUGUAGGGAGGUGGUGAGUGUAGGGACGUGGUGAGUGUAGGGACGUGGUGAGUGUAGGGACGUGGUGAGUGUAGGGAGGUGGUGAGUGUAGGGAGGUGGUGAGUGUAGGGAGGUGGUGAGUGUAGGGACGUGGUGAGUGUAGGGACGUGGUGAGUGUAGGGACGUGGUGAGUGUAGGGACGUUGUGAGGAAAGCCUCCUGUU
ensembl:lncRNA